GUACUCAGUACGACAGCACAUAUACUAAAAUUGGAACGAUACAGAGAAGAUUAGCAUGGCCCCUCUGCAAGGGAUGACAUGCAAAUUCGUGAAGCAUUCCAUAUUUUA
ensembl:snRNA U6 U6 spliceosomal RNA